AGGACCGGGCUCGUACAGGAGAGGAGGAGCUAAGGUACAUCGAGUCUCAGUCGAACAAAGAGCCGGAGCUCGGUUGCAGUGCCAGGGACUGGCUGAUCAGGGGGAGUCCCAGUGGCAGCUCCGGUUACAGAGCUUUGCUGCUUGUUAUGAGCAGGGGGCGGUGUAGGAGCUCGGAGCUCUCAGGUUAGUGGCAAUGGAGGAAGGGAAAAGAGUGUGAGACAGCUGCCCCCCUCCUUCCAUCUUCGGGUACCCCAUGGCUGGCAGGCCCCGGCUCUGAGUCGUUCUGCUUCCUACCGAUAUGGCCGCUGCCAUCAGCUACACCCCACCGUGGUGGGUCAACCUGCUGCACCGGCUCCCCCACCUCAACCUACAGUGGGAGAGUCUCAAUGGGGAUUUCCGCCCAGAGGACCCUGACUACCAGCAGUCCUUGAUGCUUCUGGCUUGUGUCGCUCUCUCCUGCCUGGCUCUUGACCUUCUCUUCCUGCUCUUCUACUCCUUCUGGUUCUGCUGCCGUCACCGGAAAACAGAAGAGAACACAAAUGCGGAUUGUUGCUGUACCGUUUGGUGUGUCAUCGUUGCUACUCUUGUCUGCAGUGCUGGAAUUGCUGUCGGUUUCUAUGGCAAUGGGGAGACCAGUGAUGGUAUUCAUCGGGUGACAUAUUCAAUAAGACAUGUGAACCGCACUAUGGCAGGAAUCCAUGAUCGGGUGUCUGACACAACUACAUCUCUCAACCAAACUGUGGAGCCAUGUCUGCAAAACCUGGAAGUCAUGUUUACAAAACAGACUGAUUACCUCCGCAUUGUGCAGCGACUUCAGAGCCUACUCUAUACCCUGGUUCAGCAAACCUCAGAAAUCCCCUUCUGGAAGAAUCAUUACUUGCUGGAUGAAUUUGCCGCACAGGUGGAUCUCUUUGACUGGUACAGGUGGCUGGGGUACCUGGGCCUGCUUCUGUUCCAUGUCUUCAUUUGUUUGCUGGUGCUAUUUGGGCUGAUCCGAAACUCAAAGGGUACUCUGAUAUGUGUGUGUUUCCUUGGAAUGAUGGCUCUCAUUAUAAGCUGGGCAUCCAUGGGCCUGGAGCUGGCAGUUGCUGUGGGCUCCAGUGACUUCUGUGUGAAUCCUGACACAUUCGUCUCCAAAAUGGUAGAAGAGAAAUCUGUGCUCCGAGCAGACAUCCUGAACUACUAUCUUGUCUGUAACACUGGAUCCCCUAAUCCCUUCCAGCAGAUGUUGUCAAGCGGUCACAAAGCCCUGGUGGAAAUGCAGGAUGAUGUCAGGGACCUCUUAAGAUCUGCGGUGAAAGAAUACCCAAACUCCAAGGAUUAUCUUGUCUGCAUACAAGGAGUACUGAAUUCUACAGAGAUCAACCUGCAGCAUUUGACAGCCUUGGUAGAUUGCCGUGGUUUACACUUGGAUUAUGUCCAGUCCCUCACUGGAUUUUGCUACGAUGGAGUAGAAGGGCUAAUUUACCUGGUUCUCUUCUCGUUUGUCACUGCCCUGAUGUUCAGCUCUAUUGUAUGCAGCGUACCUCACACCUGGCAGCAAAGGAGGGCCAACUAUGAAGAAGGCGAUGAAGAGACAACCACCCCAGGGACCCGCCAGACUCAUGAUAAUUUGUAUAGGGUGCACAUGCCCAGUUUGUACAGCUGUGGGAGCAGCUAUGGCAGCGAGACGAGUAUCCCAGCAGCCGCACAUACAGUUAGCAAUGCUCCAGUGACAGAGUACAUGAGUCAGAAUGCAAAUUUCCAGAAUCCACGUUGUGAAAACACCCCUCUGAUUGGAAGAGAGUCCCCUCCUCCCUCUUACACCUCCAGCAUGAGAGCAAAAUACCUCGCUACCAACCGUCCUGAAACCGACCCGGUGCACUAAGUGCAAGUCACAAGAUUCUCCUGAAUGCCACUAACCAGAGCAACUACUGUGGAUCAGUGUCCCCCUGGCCAAAACUCAGAGAACAUGGAGGAUUCCUAUUGGAUCCCUGAUCUUGGGCAGUAGAAGCUGCAAGAGUACGGCCAUGUUUCCCAGAAAGUGCUUCAUUAAUGAAGAAUUAAUCGCCUUUCACUAAUCCCAUGGAAGAAUGAAUCCGCUCCUCUUGUGCUUACGUCUAUGAAUCCUUUCUUUCUCGCAUCUUGACAUCUAGCCGUGUUCUUGAUCACAAACGAGUCCCUCUUUGGGAGUAAAGAUUCAAUUAGUUGCAAAGAUGAAUCUGACGGAUGAACCCCCUGUUUUCGUAUUUGCUACCAUCCUCUGCCCUAUUGUAAUCUCUUCUGUUAGACACAGGAGGACUCAUGGUUAUUUUUUACUGUGCUUUGUUUUGCAAAAAAUGUAAAUCAUAAAUGUGUUCUGUGGUUUCCAUACAGCUUGGUAUCAUGUUUUUAAAUAAAUCCAAAAAUGGAGAA